CACUGCUAGCAUGCAUCCCCAGUAUUGCAGCUGUGCAUCCCGAGCACUGCUAGCAUGCACCCCCAGUAUUGCAGCUCUGCAUCCCCAGUAUUGCAGGCAUGCAUCCCCAGUAUUGCAGCUGUGCAUCUCUAGCACUGCAGCCGUGCAUCCCCGGCAUUGCAGCUGUGCAUCCCCAGCACUGCAGGUUUGCUUAUUCAUUCAUAUGCAAAUUGAGAAGAAACAUACAGGAGAGGGUAAUGUCUUGGCCUCCAAAUCAUGCUGGCACUAUGAUGGUGGAGCAGGAGUUGAAGUCUUUCUGGCUAAUUAAUUAGUGCUGACAAAGGAUAGUCCAAGUCAGUGCUAAAUAUGUGCUACGUGCAGGAGCUAUUUUCCUCUCGGUGGCCCUAAGUAAUGGCUGCCUGAAUUGAAGCCUACACCCACAGCCAACACUGCAGCCCAAAGGGAUGGGGGUAAGCAAAGCAAAGCUUGGGCUUGGGCAAUGCCCAGCACCCAUCUGGGCUUCGGGGCUCCUUCCCACUGCUCCCUGAGCUGCCUUCUCCCCUACAGACCCCACUCCCCCUCCCUAAGGGGACUCCCCCCAUCUCAGUGCAGUGGGAGGGGAGUUCCUGUGCUGCAGUUGCACCUCAGCAGUGCGAGCUCUGCACCCACUGCUCAGGCACAGCCUGAUCCCGCUUCGUGCUUUGUUGCUAACAUGGCCCACCGUAUAAAAAGCUAUUGAGGCUUCAUGGAAACACACUGCUUUGGAAACAAUUCUGCUUGUACAUCAUACAUUUUCCUGUCAUUUUUAUUCCCUUGGUAUUUUAUUACUGAGGGAUAUUUGCAUGAAAAUAGAAUCUUUGUUUCAUAAGAAUUCAUCUGCUUCUGCUACCCUGGUCCUGGAGGAAUUUACGGUGAAUGAACACUCUGUAUUUCUCAUGUUCUCACACACACAAAAAAAUGCCAAUUAUUUAAAUUAUUGUAUCUUCUGGAGGCUUAAUUUCCCACCAUGAAUCUCCCAUUCAAUCAAUGCCACAGCAACCUCGAGAACUGAACGGGGAGGAGAGCUAGGGAAGCAGCAGCUGCAGGAACCCGGCGGUGGAUUCGGGCUGAGGCUCCAGAAAUGCUGCCCUUCCAUCCUGCGAGGCGACUGCCACGGGACUGGGGCUGACAGAAGCAUCAGGAGCUGUGAGAUGGGGCACCACGAGCAGGGGAAGCGUGGGAUGAGCAUCCGCUGUCUGCCUGUCAGCACCAGGCAGUGCCCUUCCCCGGGGACACCCCUGUGCCCCAGAGGGCAGCGGGUGGAAAUGAGCACGUUCACGUUUUUCAUAAGAACAAAUUACUUUGGGGAGCCCGCCUGGACCAGCGCACUCCUCACGCCUCGGUCCUCAGAGCCUUAAUCAAAAUUUGCUUUGAGAUGCUUUUCAAAACGUUCACAGGAAUAUUGUAUUUUCCAGGGGCUAUAGGAAGAAUAUUUGCAAUUGAAAAAAGCAAUAAUGGCUUUGGAAAGCAACGUGAUACAACUGCCAAUUAAAAUCUUUGACUUAAAACCCAUGGACUUCAUAAAGAGGAAUCCAGGCUUCGUGGAGAGGAAAGGAGGGUUUGGUUCCCAGAGCAUAUCUGUACCGCAGGGCAGGGCUACCCUCCAUGCUGGCCUUGGCUGGCCUCCUCUUCCUCCUCCUCCUCUUCCUCCUCCUCUUCCUCCUCCUCUUCCUCCUCCUCUUCCUCCUCCUCCUCCUCCAGGAGCUGCCAAGGACUCAGGAGGAGCAGCACACGGGACUGCUCCCCAUCACACAAGGAUUCCCCUCACAAGAUCUCCUCCUCCAAACCUCCAAACUCCAGUUUCAGCUGGAGCUGCAACUUCCCAGUCUGGCUGCUGAGCUCCCAGUUGGCUGUUCUGCCCUUAAUCUGCUGCGGGUGGGUUCCCCUACGACAAAAAGAAGCCGUUCUUAAGUCUCAAAUGCAGAGGCAUUAAUUCUUAGGCCAGAAAUCUGAGUAAAUCCCAUGGAAUCCUCAGUCUGGUCUACUUCUGAACAGGCUUUCGGUUCCCUCCUCCUUACUUAAUUGAAACAAAUGCAUCCAUUUAAAUCUACACAUCUUCCAAAUUUUCUAAUGCCUCCUGUAAUUCAUGCCAAUCUUUUAUCACUUGAAAAACAAUCAGGUUCUUUACUUGCCUAAUUCUGUUUUGCUUGCUCCCAGGCAAUUUAGAUCCUGAACCACCAGCUCGUGCACAUGUUCAUUAGCCACAUCCAUUUAGCUGCUUGGGCAGCUGUGCUUUUUAAUGGAGCUGAAAAAGCUGCAUGAACGCUCCCUUCCAAUGCAAGCUGUAGGGACGGAGCCCGCAGGGUUUGCUCUGGCAGAAGCAGCUCUCCCAGAGGCAGGGAAUGAGCAACACAACGAGCUCUUCUCUUGGAGGCUGCAAAUUCUUGGGCUUCCUGUUCACAUUUCCCCAUCUCCUCGUGUCAGCUGACAAGGAGGAAAUCUCACGUCUGGCUAGAAACGAGUGCAAUCUCACUGCACCGAAACAGGAACAAAGAGUAAUCCAAAAGCACUUACAAGGGGGUUUUAGAGCAGUUUCACAAUUCUGGCAAAUAUUAAGUCGAACGCGCUGAAAAUAAUCAACAAAGCAAGCUUCCCUCUACCCACAAAGCUGGGAGCUCUGCCCUCAGAGCACGGCGAUCUUGCUCCGUGCUGCCCUUCCUGCACGGCUGCAUUUCCCUUGUCCGCCGGAUCCCACCGCACUGCAGCGGCACUGCUGGCUUCAGAGCCCAGCUCCGCUGUGCUGGGAGGAACAGAGAGCCAGGAAACACGCGGAGCUGCCCGCAACAUCUUGCUGACUUGCAGAUGGAAUCCAAGAGCAGAGCCGUCCCGCGGGGCCGCCUCCCGGUCUCCACUCGAAUGAGAUCGCGCAAACAAAAGGGCUAACAAACCCCAAUUAGCGCUCAGGAGCAUCUCCCAGCACGGCGCAAGGCGCAGGAGGCUGCUUUUUGGUGCUGUGGUGUAAACUAACAGUUAAACGUCGCCUUCUGUUCUCAUUCCUUCCAGUUGAGCAGGCUACGGCCGCGUCCGGUUUUCUCCUCAAUAACCAAAUCAAGCAUAAAAACCAACUGCAGAACUAUGCGUAUUGCACAAGAAGACACGAGACUGAGCGCAGCCACGGGCAAUACAAGAAGCAGUCGGGCCGCUGUUUGUUAGCAGGGCAGAACUUUAGGACCCAAACAGAUGCACUCUGCUUUAGGAGGAUGCUCGUCCCACAUCCCACACCGCUGCAGGAGGGGGUUGGCACAGCAUGGCACGGAGCUGGGAUGAGCUGGCAGCAGCCUUAACCUUCCCAAAGGGCACUCCCUCAUCACGCACCAUUCCCAGCACUUUGCAGCACAUCCCGGAGGACCAGGAGCCGGUGGCUGCGUGAGAAGUAACCUCUGAAUGCUCCAAACCUGCUGGGCCCACGGAUUAGGAAAUUAAUAGUUGGCCUUACCCCUUGGAAAGGCAAAUACAACAAGGAAACAACAGGGGUCUGCCCGGCCGCCAGCUAAAUCCUGCCUGCAUCCCUGCUGCUGCCGGACUCCGUGUAAUUUAAGCACAGGAUUCCCCACUCUCUGCUGAGAAGAGCGUGCUGCCCUGGCACUGCUCUGAAGAACUGUGGGGACCGAGCAGAGCUCUGCCUGGCAGCCAGAGCAUCGUGGAGCAGCGGGACCCCCAAGCUGUGCCAUAACAAAGGGCUUUGCCAUGAGCCCCAAGGGGGGACUGCACGUGGGGCAGCAGGAAGGCUUUGUCAGAGCUCUUCUCUGCAGGGAGAUCGUCAUGACUGGACACACAACACGUUUCUGCUUCUGGCAAAGCUGAGCACAGACAUAGGGGUUGAUCAGAGCGUGAGAUCCUUCAUCCAGGCCUCAACUGCGUGCUGCUUCUGAGAGCGAUUUCCAAGGGCGGAAACACGGGGAAACGUCACAUCACCGAAUCACCCACCAGACACCAACAGAUGGGAUAGUUUGCAAGUGCAAACAUCUUCCCCGCGUGCCACCCCACAGCAGCACGGGGUAAAGGAAUGCCCACAGCUCGAGGUGCUCCCAUCGCUUUCAAGUGCUACUCGCCCAGAAGCCUGCACACAUCCCUGCACCAAGGGAAGCUGUCCCCUCCCGCUGCCGGUGACGCUGGUUUCUUUCUCCAAAGGAAACACAGCACCAAGGGAAUGCAUGAAGACACGAGCACCUGGAACAACGCGCGUGUAAUCCGCCAACGGACACGGAAACCGCUAGGAGCCUAUCAGUUCUGACAGCGAGUUCCCCAGGGCUAUCCAAUUAUAAUACAAUGAACUAGAGCUACUAAAAACCUAAACAGGAGUGUAUGUCUCUCUGAUACAGCAAUGAGCCUUAAGCCACAAUUUAAAAACCAUGCGUGCAACGCAGAGAUACAGGACGGCUUCUGAAGGGGAGGACGGAGCAGAGCUGAGGAGCUGGGGGGGCUGCACAGCCCCAAGCACGGUGCACCCAGCGUGGGGGGCUGCCCCCCCGUGAAGCACUCAUUAGCAGUAUUACAGCCUUCCCAUCCAAAUAGAGAGCUGCCGAAAGCCAGAACAAGCAGCAAAAUGGGGAAAAGCGCUCCAGAUGGGGAAUUUGCUCGUGCACCGCUGCCAGGAGGCUGCGUUAAUGAAGUACUCGUGCAGGCUGCAGCUUGCUCAAGGCACGAGUUUCAGAGGGAGCCUGCACACUUCGGCCGGGCACUAACAGGGUGCCACAGUGCAAAGGGCAGCACAGCGUGGGCUCCGGUCCCCGCAGCACCUGGAUGCUCCAGCACACCACUAAAGGGCUUGGCUUGUGCAGCCAGGGAUCCAUUUGGCCGCUUGCUUCCACGCUGCAGCCACACAACGCUCCGAGCCAGAGGCAUGGGAAAGGGACGGUGACUCCACGCCGCCUCCAAAUAACCAACGCAAGUUUGCUCCGUUCACAAGCAGUACAAAAACCAGGACGUGCUGUUUGCAUCCUCCGCCGUCGCCAUGAGAUGGUGCUGCGAUGGCAGCUGGGUGCUCCCCUGCUCGGUGAGCAGAGCAGGACGCAGCUCCCCUUCCCCGAGGUGCCCCAGCUUCAGUGCAAAAAGGAUUAAAGCUCUCAGGGUAACGGCGCCCAGCGCCGCCGGUGUCAGAUGGCACCAUUGGACACGGAUGGAACGAGCUGCAGAUGACAUUUGCAUCUUUUUGUUUUCUGGCUGCACAAGGAGGUCCUGCUGUCAAACGGCUCCAAGUCAAUUCAUUCCACAGAAGAAUUCGGGAUUAAACGAUAAAAGUCGUCAGCGCGGUGUUUUAAGCUCGCCCUGCCCACCCCUUCCAAGCAGCACAUGAAGGGCCUGAAGAGAUUAUGUCUCCUAAGCAUGGAAGACGUGGCAAAAAAAUUGAUUACACGGUGAUAAUAGGAAUAUGCUAGCUGUUUAGGUGUCAAAUGAAACAUAAUUCUGAAGAAUAUUUUUGCCUUUAGAAUAAUACAUCAUCUUCCCAAACUGCCACGAGCUCCCCUGUUAUUAAUGCUCCUCAGAACGACGACAAUUGAAAUGAUAAUGCGUUUCUAAAUUAAUAUUGCAUCUUCCCAUUUCAGUAUCUGAUGAGCUGUAUCAAAACUUCAUUAAAUCACUCCAUUUCGCCGGCUCCAGCCCAUAAUCAGCGCUGAGUCGCACAUCUGGGCUCGCAUCAGCCCACGCUCCCAGCCCCAGCCCAGCACCCCCCCAUGGCAUUUCCCAUUACCUGCCCCAAACUGAAUUGUUCCGGGACAGAACUCAGCCAAGGGAUCGCGCUAAGCGACUUCCACGGGCACGUCGUUAGGUCGGGGUAAAUUAAUUAGGAAGCUAUUUCAAUCCUUGUAAAAAUUUAAAUCCCACAGCUGCCGCGGCCAGGCUCCGCUCUCCCCUUGUGUUUUUGUUUAUUGUCAAAAUUGACUGUAAUUAAGCCGUAUGUGCCAAGCCAGGAUUAUACCUGCCUUUUAAAUUAAAACGGCCCCUUCAGUGCCUGCUGAUAGAUGCGGCUAAUUCAUUUAAAUUCUCAUUUCAAGACAGACAUUUCAUGUCAAGCUUGAAACUUAAUUACUCGGUCAGAGCCCAGGAGACCGCCCUGCCGUGCAGCGCAGCGCUGCCGUCCCCUUGCAGGGCACCGGGGCCACCCAGGGGCCCCCAGCCCUGUGCCUCCCAUGCUCGGGGUCCCCUCUGCUCCCACACCAGCUCCAGUCUCCUGCUGCUGCACCUCUGCAGGAGGCAAACGAAGCCACAUUUCAGAAAGCUGUGGCCCUGCCAGCAUCGCCCUCAAGGGGAACCAACAACCAGCGCACAAAGAGGGGGAUGCAACAAAUUCAGACCCGGUGACUGCAAGUACUUUGCUUCUUUUCCUGCACGUAAGGCUUUACUUAUCUUUUCCGUAAAGAAAUCCCAGGAAGGAAUUUAUUUAAAGGCAAAUGCUACGGCGCGUUGAGUUCCGCCCCUGGCCCCCAGCAGGGCUGCAGGGAGCACAGCUCUGCUGCUUAGGGCUGAGGGGCCCAAUCAGCUCCGAGCAGAGAAGCCAUACAUCGAUUUGCAGCAAGGACUAAGAAAUGGAUUUUUCUUAAAAGUUGGUGCAUAACGGCACUUCACGUGACGGGACAGACUCUAGAAAAAAUAGAUCAGCUGUUAAUUUGCAUUCAUGAGCCUUAACAGCGUUGGCCAGAAAGUGAUUAAGGAACCGCCUAGCAGCCUCAACAUCCAUCGACACAGAAGCGAUCCCAGCGGCUUCCCCGGGCACCAAGCAAAGCAGCAGCCCUGCUGGGGCAGCCCACGGUCCCCCCCCGCUCCCCCCACCCCCACGGGCACAUUCUGCACAGAGCUGUGUUGCUGCAGCUGCUGCUUGCAGAGCUGUGGCCACACUUCCCCCACGGAAUAAUCCAAAGCGAAACCCAUUUGCUUUCAGCCGAGCUGGGGCUGUUUUUACUGCUGGGGAAUUUGGGGCUGAAUGUUUUCGUUUUGCUGGCGUUUCUCAUCACUUAGGUUCUCAAAGCCGGGAACAAACCAUGGUUUAUUUCUUUCCAGCGUGACUUUGCACCAAAACACGAACCACCACAGCUUGCCCCCGUUCCAAGGUAUUUCACCUAUUUGAGCCGUCGAAUCGUGACUUUUAUAAGUUGAAAGGAUAAAGGAAUUAUUAAAACACACGGAAACAACAGCAGAAAUGCACGACGUUUGGGAAGCACAACGCAGCAACGCUACAUAAAAAGAUUUAACGAGUUCCGUGGGAAAAGCAGCAGACAAACUCAGCAAUUCAGCUGCAAGGUAUUUGAGCUCACUUGCUCAACAAAUAGGUUGCACUGGGACUCGAACUUAUUUUGUCACUUGUUAUGAACUGCAGCCCUACGUUCUGUUUUUUCCUCCCCAUCUGAUGCAGGCUCCUUGCUCGGCAGCUCAGGGUUGUCCUUCCAGCACCUGGGCAUUCCUCACGUUCGGAUUCAGAUGCUGCACUCAGCUCUGAUGUUUCUCUUAUGCUAAAAUCCGGGAUGUUUAGAAAUCCAUAAGGGUCAGGUAAACCACAGCUGCUCUGGGCAAGAGCUGGGAAUCACUGAACGGACACUAAGCAGAAACUGGAGAGCGAAUUUAAAUGCCACUGAAAUUAGAAGUAGAAAAUAAGGAAAAGUACAUCCAUUUCUGAAAGGGAAAAACUUGGUAUAAAAAAGCCAAAGUAAAACGACCCAUCAAAAGAUAAUUUUACCAACAAAAAGUGGCUCAACCUUUAAGAAAUUCCACACCCUGGGGUCUACAUUUAUCCAAAUCCAACUCUCCUUUGACUGCGUUUCCCUAGAAAGGGAUUUGCACUGAAAACGAGACAUUGCUUAGCUCUACAUUGACAGGUUUAGGAGGUUUGUUCCCAUCCACCCUCCUGCGAGCAAAGCAAGUUCACCACGGCCACAGGUCAGCCCUGAGCAGAGCGAGGAGCAGAGUCAAGAGGAACAUGGGCCUUCUGCAAGCGUUGGGGGGAGCGGAGGAAGAAAGAGGAACGGCUGAACGUGGGGCAAGCAGCGUUCAACUCGGCUAAGGAGGAUCGGCUGUCAGCACACCAACCGAGGCGGUGACGUGAGGACAACUGGAUGGUAAUUUUCCUCCAAGGCAGAUUUCAAACACUCCAAUG